rnacentral:tRNA from 1 species
GGCGAACUGGACCGCGAACAGGUCGCACCGGUCGCGACGGCGAUCGGCCAGCUCACCAGCGCGCUGGGCGACGUUCCGCUCAUCGGGUUCGCCG